rnacentral:rRNA from 1 species
AGUGAACGCUGGCGGUAGGCCUAACACAUGCAAGUCGAACGGCAGCACAGUAAGAGCUUGCUCUUACGGGUGGCGAGUGGCGGACGGGUGAGGAAUACAUCGGAAUCUACUUUUUCGUGGGGGAUAACGUAGGGAAACUUACGCUAAUACCGCAUACGACCUACGGGUGAAAGUAGGGGAUCUUCGGACCUUGCGCGAUUGAAUGAGCCGAUGUCGGAUUAGCUAGUUGGCGGGGUAAAGGCCCACCAAGGCGACGAUCCGUAGCUGGUCUGAGAGGAUGAUCAGCCACACUGGAACUGAGACACGGUCCAGACCCCUACGGGAGGCAGCAGUGGGGAGUAUUGGACAAUGGGCGCAAGCCUGAUCCAGCCAUACCGCGUGGGUGAAGAAGGCCUUCGGGUUGUAAAGCCCUUUUGUUGGGAAAGAAAAGCAGCAGGUUAAUACCCCGCUGUUCUGACAGUACCCAAAGAAUAAGCACCGGCUAACUUCGUG